GGAAGCGCCCUCCUGGUCCUGUGACAGUCUGUCUACAUUGAAUCCAGGGUUACUGUAGCAGCCAGGCGCUUUCUCCAGGACACACCAGCACCUGAUCUGGAAGAAGGUGACCUCUCAGGUGACUGCACCAGCCCACAGCUGCGGGGCACAGCCUGAGGCUCCAGAGGGAAACUUGAAACCCAGCUCUGCAGAGCUCCCAGCUUCCGGAUUCCUGGCCCAGGAGGCUGAGCUCGGCAGCUGUGGUGAAAGUGUUGGAGACUAAAGCUCUGAAGAAUUAGGUGUGGCUGUGCUCUGCUUUCUCCUGCAGGAAGGAAGGUGUAGAUGGCAUGGAUGCGCCCAAGGGUGACUUCCUAACUAGUCUGCUAGGAAAGAGAAAGCCUGACUUUGGAUGGUGUUACCUUCACCUGGGGGACCCUAGAGGAUGUCAUACACCACAGAAACCCACUACACUGCCGGCCCUCAGAGAAGAAACUGAAAAUGCAUGUGCAGCUAUCUCAAUGGCCAAGGGCACCCGAGCAGCAGUUCACCUACUAAUAAAUGUGUGGAAGCCGGUGGCCACCACUUUGAGCUCCUCUGGUAACUGUAGAGGCCAAAGGAACCUUGUGUUAAUCUCGUGAUUUCUCAAUACAUUUAGUAUUAAA
rnacentral:lncRNA from 1 species